rnacentral:rRNA from 1 species
GAUGAACGCUGGCGGCGUGCCUAAUACAUGCAAGUCGGGCGAACGGACGAGAAGCUUGCUUCUCUGAUGUUAGCGGCGGACGGGUGAGUAACACGUGGAUAACCUACCUAUAAGACUGGGAUAACUUCGGGAAACCGGAGCUAAUACCGGAUGAUAUUUUGAACCGCAUGGUUCAAAAGUGAAAGACGGUCUUGCUGUCACUUAUAGAUGGAUCCGCGCUACAUUAGCUAGUUGGUAAGGUAACGGCUUACCAAGGCAACGAUGCAUAGCCGACCUGAGAGGGUGAUCGGCCACACUGGAACUGAGACACGGUCCAGACUCCUACGGGAGGCAGCAGUAGGGAAUCUUCCGCAAUGGGCGAAAGCCUGACGGAGCAACGCCGCGUGAGUGAUGAAGGUCUUCGGAUCGUAAAACUCUGUUAUUAGGGAAGAACAUAUGUGUAAGUAACUGUGCACAUCUUGACGGUACCUAAUCAGAAAGCCACGGCUAACUACGUG